GAAUUUUGGGCAAUGGGGGAAACCCUGACCCAGCAACGCCGCGUGAAGGAUGAAGUUUUUCGGAAUGUAAACUUCGUAAGAAUAGGAAGAAUCAAUGACGGUACUAUUUGUAAGCUCCGGCUAACUACUUGCCAGCAGCCGCGGUAAUACGGAGGGGGCAAGCGUUGUUCGGAUUUACUGGGCGUAAAGGGCGCGUAGGCGGCGUGGUAAGUCACUUGUGAAAUCUCUGAGCUUAACUCAGAACGGCCAAGUGAUACUGCUGUGCUAGAGUGCAGAAAGGGCAGCCGGAAUUCUUGGUGUAGCGGUGAAAUGCGUAGAUAUCAAGAGGAACACCUGAGGCGAAGGCGGGUUGCUAGGCUGACACUGACGCUGAGGCGCGAAAGCCAGGGGAGCAAACGGG
rnacentral:rRNA from 1 species